CCUACGGGUGGCUGCAGUGGGGAAUAUUGGACAAUGGGGGGAACCCUGAUCCAGCCAUGCCGCGGGUGUGAAGAAGGCCCUCGGGUUGGAAAGCACUUUCAGUGAGGAAGAACGCCUGGUGGUUAAUACCCAUCAGGAAAGACAUCACUCACAGAAGAAGCACCGGCUAACUCCGUGCCAGCAGCCGCGGUAAUACGGAGGGUGCGAGCGUUAAUCGGAAUUACUGGGCGUAAAGCGCGCGUAGGUGGCUUGAUAAGCCGGUUGUGAAAGCCCCGGGCUCAACCUGGGAACGGCAUCCGGAACUGUCAAGCUAGAGUGCAGGAGAGGAAGGUAGAAUUCCCGGUGUAGCGGUGAAAUGCGUAGAGAUCGGGAGGAAUACCAGUGGCGAAGGCGGCCUUCUGGACUGACACUGACACUGAGGUGCGAAAGCGUGGGUAGCAAACAGGAUUAGAUACCCUAGUAGUC
rnacentral:rRNA from 1 species